UCAAGAAGCCAGGUGUUCUUGUUGGCGAUUUGAAAAGAUUAGCCAUCUUAAAGGAGUUUGGUGACGAAUCACCGGAUCUUGGCCUUGGUGACCGCACCUCCGAUCACGACUUCAUGUCCAUUUGCAAGGUGCGUAUUAUCUCCUUUUCCAAGCUUGUUUUAAGUUUCUUGAAUCGUUUGAGCACUCGAUUUAGGUGGCCUAAUUAAUUAAGUUGAGUGUCUGAUUCUUCAAAAACCUUUCGUAAUCAAAGAAUCUAAGUACUUUAAAUAAAUGCAGUAGGACCUAUAUUAAUGCCGCGUUAAGGGUUCACAUGAUCCAUUUAGCUAGUGGGAUAAUACAAUAAUUUGUCCAUCCACCCCUUUUUUUUAACAUUAACAGCCUUCACAUGAUCCAUUUACGUCCAAAUGAUUUACUUACUUUGCAUGUUUAUGUCUCUAAUAAACACAUGCAUGUAAACAAUUAGAUUAAGUAUAAUGUUUCUGAAACAUGAUUUAGCAUACAGAAAAAAACUUGUAAUCAUAUGUAUGAAUUCAAUAAAUGAAUGUAAUAAAAUUCAACUUAAAAUAAGUAGGUAGAUAGAAUAUAAUAGAAGUAGUAGUUUUCAUAAAUGCUUUAAACCUAUCACCAACUACCAUCCCCCACAUAAGUUGGAUGGUCCAAUUUAAUGACCGUUCCCAUAUGUCAACAUUUCUUUAAUUUUUCUCAUAUACCCUGAGACUUUCAGUAUUUUACAAUAUUUCUUACUAUAAUAUAGUGAAACUUUUGAAUCUUUUUUUUUUUUUUUUUUUGAAUCUUUUAAAUGAUUGGUAACGAGUUGCUUAUUUUAACUGCAACAGGAAGGUUACAUGGUGCAUGAGACCAAAUCAGCCACAACAGUCCCCAUAGAGCGUCUCAAGAACCGCAUAAUCUUCCACGACGGCCGUCUAGUCCAACGUCCGACGCCUUUAAACGCCUUAAUCAUUUACCUUUGGCUUCCUUUCGGCUUCAUGCUUUCCAUCUUCCGCGUCUACUUCAACCUUCCUCUACCUGAACGCUUCGUUCGUUACACUUACGAGAUCCUCGGUAUUCACCUCACUAUCCGCGGCCACCGUCCCCCUCCUCCUUCCCCCGGCACUCCCGGAAACCUCUACGUCCUUAACCACCGUACCGCUCUUGACCCCAUCAUCAUCGCCAUUGCUCUCGGCCGUAAGAUCUCAUGCGUCACUUAUAGUGUCUCUCGCCUCUCCCGGAUGCUCUCACCCAUCCCUGCCGUCGCUCUCACCCGAGACCGUGCCGCCGAUGCUGCCCGCAUGAGAAAACUCCUAGAGAAAGGUAUUUGUAGCAGCAGUCCUUCUUACUAUAAGCAGAGUGACUCUAAAUCUUUACUAGAAAAUUGGUUUGAAAAAGAUAAUAUAACAACUACUUCAUAAAUAUCAGAAACAGAGUAUCUCUCACUUUUUGGACACAUAACUGGUCUCAUUUUUAUCACAUUUGGUCUAGUCUGAAUAUUUAAUUAUAUUCAUGCGUAGAAUAAGAUAACUUUCGUCUAUAUAAAAGUAGAAAAGAGAGCAUCUCUAUAAGUGUUUUACUAUAUUUGCGACAGGUGAUUUGGUGAUCUGCCCUGAAGGUACGACUUGUAGAGAACCGUAUCUGCUGCGAUUCAGUGCUCUAUUUGCAGAGCUAAGCGACCGGAUCGUACCUGUGGCCAUGAACUGUAAGCAAGGGAUGUUCAAUGGAACGACAGUCAGAGGUGUAAAAUUCUGGGAUCCUUACUUCUUCUUCAUGAACCCAAGACCUAGCUACGAGGCCACUUUCUUGGACCGUUUGCCUGAAGAAAUGACGGUAAACGGCGGCGGUAAAACUCCAAUCGAGGUGGCUAAUUACGUUCAGAAGGUGAUUGGUGGAGUAUUGGGGUUCGAGUGCACUGAACUUACAAGGAAAGAUAAGUAUCUUUUGCUUGGAGGCAACGACGGUAAGGUUGAGUCUAUCAAGAAGACAAAGGAGUGAUAAAUCCAGCUAGUUACGGCUUUCUACUUUUUAAUGGAUUGUUGGAGGAAAAACUUUCGUUGAACAUGCAUUGGAUAAUGAAUUACAUUUAAUGAUUUUAGUAUUUUCCCCUCAUCUUUUUGAAUGAUAUAUUAAUUAGUAGCAUACUCUAAAAUAUAUUCCCUUUCAAAUAUGAAAGAAAAACAAACAAAGUCCGGUAAAGAUUGUGGCUCAGUCGUUUCCCAUUGUAGUUUGUUUAUGAUCAUUUUUUUUCUUGAUGAAUUUGGAAUGUGGAUACUACUUUUAGCAAAAAAAAAUUGGAUAAUAUUAAUAUACAAGUGACUGGCCAUAUAGUAUAUGGUAACUUUUCCCAUGUAAUGUUAAAAACUGAUCUCUAAUUGGACGCCAAAAAAAAGUUUUUUAAAAGUUGCUCCAAAUAUGCAUGCAUGCAAACCUUAUAAAACCAAUAUUCAGAGCCUUGUUUUUGUUUGUUAUGAAAUGAAGAAACGAGACUCUCGUUACGAGAGAGCUAGUUGGAAAGAUUAUAGAGAAUACAAUACAUUCAUAUAUGAAAUAAAAUUUCAAGUUUACAGAAACAAAACAAAGCCAGAAAGUUACUAUUGAAAAAAAAAAAAAAGUUACUAUUGAAGUGUAUAUGCUUACAGUUUCAUGUUGAACAAAUUUAAAACCAUUAAUCGUAUUUCUGUCCAACAUGUUUUUUUUUCUUCUUUGGAAUAAAAAAUGUGUUUAUAAAUCAGAGACGUUGUCGGCUCUAAGCCAACGUAACUUCCAUUGCUUACCAUCAUCCAUCAAACGGCGACGCCGUCACAUUUGCCGUCGAUGACACCGUCACCCUUCGCCACCACUAGACUCUUUAUGGUUCCUUCGAGAUCCCUCUUAUGCAGAUUAACCAGAAGCCCGUUCUUCAUAAAAAGAGUCAAAGACAUCUUCUGCUCCACUCUGUGUCCCGGAACCACCGUGAUCCGGUGACGUAGAAGCACCGCGGCCGCGAUGCUCUUCAUCUGAAGAUAGGCAAGAUCUUUUCCGAGGCAGAUCCUUGGUCCUGCAUUGAAUGCCACGAAUCUAUACUGGUCGUGGUUUAUGAAUUUGCCGUCGAUGGGGGAGAUCCAUCUCUCCGGGAUAAACUCGAGACAAUCUUCUCCCCAAGUCGACUUCAUCCUCCCCGCCGCGUAUAUCGAGUAACUCACCGAAGAUCCCGCCGGCACGAAAGUCCCGUCAGGUAAAACGUCGUCGUUCUCCACGUGCUUCGAUCACCACUUUUCAUUAUAUUUACAUACUAAUGCAAACCUAUGUAGUAAAAUUAAUCACAUAUUGAAUUAUGACUUAUAAAAUGUAAUCGUAUAACAAAAAGAUGGAUGGUUUAAGCCAAAGACUUUGUUACGACUCUUGUAAUGGGGAAUUUAUAUAUUUAAGUGAGAAUGAUGACAAAGUGAGAAAGAAUCAGGUUAUAAUUGUUAGAAAUGAUAGUUUAAGGAUAAAUUUGUAAAGAAGUCAUAUUGGAUAAGGAGUGACAAUAUUAUAAAUCGGUAAGGAAUGCAGCGCAUUUAAAACAAGAAAGACCCCUUCCCUCUCUUUCUUUCCAAGAUUCUCUCUCUCUGUUUACCAUCAAAGAGAGAUCGAAAAAUGUCUCCGGCAAAGAAGAAGAGCAGAAGCUUUCCUCCGAUAAGCGAGUGUAAACGUGGAGAGUAUGAUUCGAUCGCCGCAGAUCUCGACGGGACUAUGCUCCUCUCGAGAAGCUCCUUCCCUUAUUUCAUGCUCGUCGCCAUAGAAGCAGGCAGUCUCUUCCGUGGAUUGAUCCUCCUUCUAUCUCUCCCGAUCGUCAUCAUCGCUUACCUCUUCGUCUCCGAAGCUCUCGGCAUCCAAAUCCUCAUCUACAUCUCCUUCGCCGGCAUCAAAAUCCGCGACAUCGAACUCGUCUCUCGCGCCGUUCUUCCACGGUUCUACGCGGCGGAUGUGAGGAAGGACAGUUUCGAGGUGUUUGAUAAAUGCAAGAGGAAAGUGGUGGUCACUGCGAACCCCAUAGUGAUGGUUGAGCCUUUCGUGAAGGAUUACUUGGGAGGAGACAAAGUUUUAGGAACAGAGAUCGAAGUGAAUCCUAAAACAAUGAAAGCCACUGGGUUUGUGAAGAAGCCUGGUGUUCUUGUUGGCGAUUUGAAAAGAUUAGCCAUCUUAAAGGAGUUUGGAGACGAAUCACCGGAUCUUGGCCUUGGUGACCGCACCUCCGAUCACGACUUCAUGUCCAUUUGCAAGGUGCGUAUUAUCUCCUUUUCCAAGCUUAUUUUACGUUUCUUGAAUCGUUUAAACACCCGAUUUAGGUGGCCUAGUUAAUUAAGUUGAGUGUCUGAUACUUCAAAAACCUUUCGUAAUCAAAGAAUUUAAGUACUUUAAAUGAAUGCAGUAGGACCUAUAUUAAUGCCGCGUUAAGGGUUCACAUGAUCUAGCUAGUGGGAUAGAUUAUACAAUAAUUUGUCCAUCCACCCCCUUUUUU
rnacentral:lncRNA from 1 species